GUCGAACGCUGGCGGCGUGCUUAACACAUGCAAGUCGAACGGUUGAGCGAGUGCUUGCACUCGUGGAUCAGUGGCGAACGGGUGAGUAACAUGUGAGUAACCUGCCCAUCACUCUGGGAUAAGCACUGGAAACGGCGUCUAAUACUGGAGACGACCAACCCUUGCAUGGGGUGUUGGGGGACAGAUUUUGCGGUGCUGGAUGGACUCGCGGUCUAUGAGUUUGUUGGUGGGGUAAUGGCCCACCGAAGCAGAGGAGGGGAUCCGACCUGAGAAGGUGACCGGCCUCACUGGUACUGCGACAGGGACCAGACUCGUACGGGAGGCAGCAGUGGGAAACAUGGCACAAUGGGCGAGAGCCUGUUAAAGAGACGCCGCGUGUGGGAUGACGGCCUUCGGGUUGUAAACCGCUUUCAGCAGGGAAGAAGCGGGUGUGACGGUACCUACAGAAGAAGCACCGGCUAACUACGUG
rnacentral:rRNA from 1 species